AGAAUCAACGCUGGCGGCGUGCCUAACACAUGCAAGUCGCACGAGAAAGGGUAGCAAUACCUGAGUAAAGUGGCGCACGGGUGAGUAACACGUGAAUUAUCUACCUCCGAGUGGGGAAUAACUGAGAGAAAUCUUAGCUAAUACCGCACAACACUUACGAGUCAAAGCAGCAAUGCGCUUGGAGAGGAGUUCGCGGCAGAUUAGUUAGUUGGCGGGGUAAUGGCCCACCAAGACGAUGAUCUGUA
rnacentral:rRNA from 1 species